UACAGAGGGGGCAAGCGUUGUUCGGAAUUACUGGGCGUAAAGGGCGCGUAGGCGGCCUGUUAAGUCGGACGUGAAAUCCCUCGGCUCAACCGGGGAACUGCGUCCGAUACUGGCGGGCUUGAAUUCGGGAGAGGGAUGUGGAAUUCCAGGUGUAGCGGUGAAAUUCGUAGAUAUUAGGAAGAACACCAGUGGCGAAGGCGGCUCACUGGCCCGGUACUGACGCUGAGGCGCGAAAGCGUGGGGAGCAAACAGG
rnacentral:rRNA from 1 species